rnacentral:lncRNA from 1 species
AAGAGUUAUAAAUUCAUGAAUUGGCGAAACAUUGAUAUACAGAUUAACCCUGCUAAAGGCACCGGAUGAAAUCUAUGCUCUUCUUAAGUGGCGUAGUACACACUGCAAGACAUGUCACAUAAUUGUUGAAUCUAACUUCCAAAGCUGAAAUUACAUGCAUGUAUGCAUCCCUAAUCAAUGAUCAUCGUACUAAUUUCCAAACUAAAAGAAAAACAUGGAUGAUUAUUCUUAUAUUUCAGAAAGUCAAAGUUAUAUAUGUAAAUGCUUCAUCUUUGGUUUCUGACGUCAUCUUAGAUUGACAUUGACUUAAAUUCUUUUCCUAUGUCUUGCAACAGACCCUGCAAAGAUGUGCACAACGUAUCAGGUAAAGUCAUUCCUUACACAAGCUAGGAGUGUCUAGUUAUCUCAAGAAGAAAAGUGUCUAUGGUUGGAAAACAAAAACUCACCCAUGAAACUGUCAUGCUUCUUCAUUAAGCAUGGCACAUAUCUUACCUAUAAUUGAACUGUAAGAAGUUAAAGAAAUAAAGUACACUCUGUAACAAAAUGUAAGACGUUUUUAUGCCCUAUGCAAAACAAAAAAAAAGUAUUGCAUUUUGGCACAGAGGAUGUAGCUUUCAUGUGCAAAAAUCCAUGCAAUGUUUCGGAGGUAAAUCUGAACUUAAAUGAGAUUAUAGGGAAGCAUUGCAUGACCUCUCAGCAGAUCAAAACCUAUAUAUCUUCCUUACAACUCUGCUUGCAUUAGCGUUUAGUUGAUGAGUUCAACGCCUACAUGUCUACAGGCUACAGUACUUCCGCAAAUGAUUCUGAAGCAUUUGAAAAAUAGAGGAAGAAAAACAUGCACAUGACAUGAGCAUAUACAUGCAAUAGAUUCAGAAGGGCCUUCAUUUUUAGUAAGAAGCUUCUGAAGAGCCUAAUGUUUUGUAAAUGUCUAGUAAGAGGCGGGCAUUAAUUUACUUAAAAAAUUAAUUAAUAGACAAUAGUACUACCCAGUAAUAAAUUUGUGGUUCAGUAUAACCUUAACAAUUGAUCUAUUAUGGAUUCUGGAUUAAGCAUUGCCUAAAAAACUCAAAAAAGAAUCAUAUUUAGUUUAUCCUUGCUGAAGAUAGUUGGAAAAAAGUAGUUAGUGAAUCAACAGUUUAGUUUAUAGUUAACAUAUUUACUCCAGUGCCCAUGCAUCAUCUACGGCAGCUGAAGGUUUGUGAAUAGGCAAAUUUUAACUAUGCAUGGUGAAGCAAAAUCUGCAGGAACUCCCGGUGAGUAACAUUACUCAAGGAAUUGUUCUAAAUAACCUUAUCAUACAGAUAUCGAUGAAUUCUUAAUCCCAAGAUUCAUAUAUAUUUGCUUCUGUUAGCACACUGAAUGAUGUGCAGUAGCGCAACAAAAGCAACAUAGGGAACCUACAGGUAUUAUAAUCUCACUCAAAAUGUUGGCAAGGAUGCAUCCUGGUGCCCUUUUAUGAUGCAUAGUUAUCAAUUAAGAGAACAAUCAUAGUUUCACCAUCCCUAACCUUUAAUAUCAUGUAACAACUAACAAGUUGUGCACCAUUCUAGCAGACAUACAAUUUACAAAUGCAAAUAUUCAAUAAUUGCUACAGCAAACGGAACAUACCUGUCUCAGGUAUCUUUAUUUUUAUGGUCAUCACAACAAAUCAUACAUUAUUAUAUUUCCUCAUCACUUCACCACGCCUUGCAAAAAUAACCAGAGUUGUUCCAUCAGUAAAAGGCAACGUCGUGGGGCCAUGGUCGAGAAGAUAACUUAUUCGGCUCUUAAAAAAAGCUUGCUUGUGUCUCUCCUUGAUCAAUAAGUCCCUUAUAACAAUACAUUUUUUCAGUGUCUCAAUCUUUGUAUCAGUAUCACC